GAUGAACGCUGGCGGCGUGCCUAAUACAUGCAAGUCGAGCGAACAGACGAGGAGCUUGCUCCUCUGACGUUAGCGGCGGACGGGUGAGUAACACGUGGAUAACCUACCUAUAAGACUGGGAUAACUUCGGGAAACCGGAGCUAAUACCGGAUAAUAUAUUGAACCGCAUGGUUCAAUAGUGAAAGACGGUUUUGCUGUCACUUAUAGAUGGAUCCGCGCCGCAUUAGCUAGUUGGUAAGGUAACGGCUUACCAAGGCAACGAUGCGUAGCCGACCUGAGAGGGUGAUCAGCCACACUGGAACUGAGACACGGUCCAGACUCCUACGGGAGGCAGCAGUAGGGAAUCUUCCGCAAUGGGCGAAAGCCUGGCGGAGCAACGCCGCGUGAGUGAUGAAGGUCUUCGGAUCGUAAAACUCUGUUAUUAGGGAAGAACAAAUGUGUAAGUAACUAUGCACGUCGUGGCGGUACCUAAUCAGAAAGCCACGGCUAACUACGUG
rnacentral:rRNA from 1 species